rnacentral:rRNA from 1 species
UACGGGGGGGGCAAGCGUUGUUCGGAAUUACUGGGCGUAAAGGGCUCGCAGGCGGCCGACUAAGUCAGACGUGAAAUCCCUUGGCUUAACCAAGGAAUGGCGUCUGAUACUGGACGGCUUGAAUUCGGGAGAGGGAUGUGGAAUUCCAGGUGUAGCGGUGAAAUGCGUAGAUAUCUGGAGGAACACCGGUGGCGAAGGCGGCAUCCUGGACCGAUAUUGACGCUGAGGAGCGAAAGCGUGGGGAGCAAACAGG